AUUAAAAAAAAAAAAAAAGAGAUAAAAAGGAGGUAGUCUUUAUAAGGCCGUAAGCCUCGCGAUUGUCACACGUUCGCCACUCUUCUCAAUCUCAUUCUCAUCCUCUUCUUUCUUUCAUCUUUCACUCUACCGUUUCCAUGGAUCCGUACAAGUACCGGCCAUCUAGCGCCUUCAAUUCGCCCUUCUGGACUACAAAUUCUGGUGCUCCUGUUUGGAACAACAACUCCUCUUUAACCGUUGGAACUAGAGGUCCUAUUCUCCUGGAGGAUUAUCAUCUUGUGGAAAAGCUUGCUAACUUUGACAGGGAGCGGAUCCCAGAACGUGUUGUCCAUGCUAGGGGAGCUAGUGCUAAGGGUUUCUUUGAGGUCACACAUGACAUUUCUCACCUGACGUGUGCAGAUUUCCUUCGAGCCCCUGGUGUUCAGACACCUGUAAUUGUCCGUUUCUCGACUGUCAUCCAUGAGCGUGGUAGCCCUGAAACCUUGAGGGAUCCUCGAGGUUUUGCUGUGAAAUUUUACACCAGAGAGGGUAACUUUGACCUUGUUGGAAACAACUUUCCUGUCUUCUUUGUACGUGAUGGAAUGAAGUUUCCAGAUAUGGUCCAUGCUCUUAAACCCAAUCCCAGGUCCCACAUCCAGGAGAAUUGGAGGAUCCUUGACUUCUUCUCUCACCAUCCAGAGAGCCUUCACAUGUUCACCUUUUUAUUUGAUGAUUUGGGUGUCCCACAAGAUUACAGGCAUAUGGAUGGUUCUGGAGUUAACACAUAUACCCUGAUCAACAAGGCUGGCAAAGCAGUGUAUGUGAAAUUUCACUGGAAGCCCACGUGUGGUGUAAAGUGUCUAUUGGAGGAAGAGGCCAUUAAGGUGGGAGGAUCCAACCACAGUCAUGCCACUCAAGACCUUUAUGAUUCUAUUGCUGCUGGUAACUAUCCAGAGUGGAAACUGUAUGUUCAAACAAUAGAUCCUGAUCAUGAAGACAAAUUUGACUUUGACCCACUUGAUGUCACUAAGACUUGGCCUGAGGACAUUAUACCCCUGCAGCCUGUUGGUCGCAUGGUCUUGAAUAAGAACAUAGAUAAUUUCUUUGCUGAGAAUGAACAACUAGCAUUUUGCCCUGCCAUUGUGGUGCCUGGUGUAUAUUACUCAGAUGAUAAGUUGCUUCAAACCAGGAUAUUCUCUUAUGCCGAUACCCAGAGGCACAGACUUGGACCAAACUAUCUGCAGCUUCCUGCUAAUGCUCCCAAGUGUGCUCACCACAACAAUCACCAUGAAGGUUUCAUGAAUUUCAUGCACAGGGAUGAGGAGGUGAAUUACUUCCCUUCAAGGUAUGAUCCUGUUCGUCAUGCCGAAAGGUUCCCCAUUCCUCCUGCUAUCUUCAAUGGAAGACGUGAAAGGUGUGUAAUUGAGAAGGAGAACAACUUCAAGCAGCCUGGAGAGAGAUACCGAUCUUGGGCACCUGACAGGCAAGAUAGAUUUAUCCGCAGGUGGUUUGAGGCUUUAUCUGACCCACGUGUCACCCAUGAGAUCCGCAGUAUCUGGAUAUCAUACUGGUCUCAGGCUGACCGUUCUCUUGGUCAAAAGAUAGCAUCUCAUCUCAACUUGAGGCCAAGCAUUUAAGGUUGUUGCCAACCCCGGAAUGAUUUUUAGGAGUUGCAGAUGUGCAAAGAGCAUGAUAAGUGCAAAAGAGUACGAUAAGGAUGUGGCUUUGGAUCAUUGAAAGGACUAGUCCUUUUCUUCCAAGAUUAUGUUGUGUACCAAUAACUCCAUGCAUAUUCUGACGAAUCUGACCUAAUCGGCUGGAAGUUCAGAUAACUCAAUGGGUCCAAAGCAGCAGCUUCAUAUCUGCGAAUGUUUUUCGGGUUGUUCAAAAGUCAAAAUGAGAUUCGAACCGCCCCAAAAAUGUCAAAAUGAGAUGUAGUUUGGCUUAUGUUGGUUGUGUUUGAUUGGAACGUCCAUUCUUCCUGGGAGGUAGCUUUGAGUCAUAAAUUCUUGCCAUUAUCAAAUUAACUCGUUUUGAUUGGGACAUGUAGCUACCAGAUAACAUUUAUGGCUUUAGUUGUUUUCAUG